rnacentral:rRNA from 1 species
UAGUUUGCGUCUUCUAGUUAUGGAGGAGACGCGGCGGACAGCUCAGUAACACGUAGCCAAUCUGCCCUUGAGAUGGAGAUAACCCCGGGAAACUGGGGAUAAUACCCAAUAGGUGAGAAGGCUUGGAAUAGUUUCUCGCUGAAAGGGUGAUGAGACCAUGCUUUCAUCAUCGCUCAAGGAUGAGGCUGCGGCCGAUCAGGUAGUUGGUGAGGUAACGGCUCACCAAGCCUAUAACCGGUACGGGCCGUGAGAGCGGGAGCCCGGAGAUGGGCACUGAGACAAGGGCCCAGGCCCUACGGGGCGCAGCAGCUACGAAACCUCUGCAAUGCGCGCAAGCGCGACAGGGUUAUCCCGAGUGCCGUCCGCUGAGGAUGGCUUUUUUUUGGUGUAAUGAGCCGGAGGAAUAAGGGGAGGGCAAGCCUGGUGUCAGCCGCCGCGGUAAUACCAGCUCCCCGAGUGGUAGGGACUUUUACUUGGCCUAAAGCGUCCGUAGCUUGUUCGGUAAGUUUCUCGUUAAAUCUAACGAUCUAAUCGUUAGGCUGCGGGAAAUACUGCUGGACUAGGAGGCGGAAGAAGCCGACGGUACUCUUGGUGUAGGGGUGAAAUCCUAUAAUCCCAAGAGGACCACCAGUGGCGAAGGCGGUCGGCUAGGACGCGCUCGACGGUGAGGGACGAAAGCUGGGGGAGCGAUCCGGAUUAGAUACCCGGGUAGUCCCAGCUGUAAACGAUGCAGGCUAGGUGUUGGCGUGGCUACGGGCCACGUCAGUGCCGCAGGGAAGCUGUUAAGCCUGCCGCCUGGAAGUACGGU